rnacentral:rRNA from 1 species
AUGGCUCGUAGUUCUAUGACUGGCAAGAAUGCAUGGGGGCCUGUAGUUGCUCCUAGGAUGAGUAACAGAAUUCAGAGAGAUGGGAAAAAUGCUAUUCAGAGAGCUUCUGAUUUGCUAAAAGUCAAAAACCUCGAAAUUCCUAAGACAAGUGAACUCCGAGUGAUUUGGAUGAAUGAGGAGAUCAAAGCAAGACAGAGAUCCAGGGAGAGAGAUAUCCUUGAAGGACGUGCUGAGAAACGCUGCAAGCUGGUGCGAUCUGUGGAAGGUGCUCUGCACUGGAGCAGAUCGGUCAAGGUUGAUGGAUGCCACCAAGGCGGUCUGGGAGCUUGCAAGAAGGCCUCCUAUGCUACUCUGGCCGAAUCCAGGCUGAAGAAGAAGGAUCAUGUGCCCCCCUCGAGGCCCUCCAUGCUUAAGUGUUGCACGAUGGGAGUGGGGUGUGAUGCUGUGGUGCUGACGCCCAUCUACCCCACCUGA